UAAAAAUAUAAAACCAUCCGUUCAUUCCAAAACCAAUCAUAAAUGUUGUUGUGCUGGUGUGGUAGGUGUGAUUGUUAUCAUCAUGAGGUUGGUCAGCUGUGACAUUUUUUAAAACAUGUUUUUCUCUUUAAAUACUUAGCUAUUCAAGAAGGGGAACAAGAAGGAUUCCCACCGCUCUGAAUCAGAACAAGUACAGACCACUGCUGAAGAUGGCAUGCUGCCCAGCAUAGUGCCACAUGCUGCCAUGUCUGCACUGCCAAACGAUCUCCCCGUCAGCUCCCAACAGGAGACGCCUCACAAACGUCCACUUCUCGUCAGGAUGUUUUCUGCCAUCUCCAAAGGCCUGUUCAAGCCCUUCAAACAGUCCUUAAAGACCAAGUAACUUCAGACAAUUUAUUAAACGUCAUUCAUUGCAUUAAAUUGGCCUUUGUCUUCUUAUGUGCUCCCGUUAACAGACCAGAUUACAAUACUGGUCUUUUAAAUGUUAGCAGUGAUAGCAACAUUAACUAUAGUGGUGUGUGUAUAGCCCUUCUACACAGUCUGACUCUUCUGACACUGUGUGACAUGCCCUCUGAUCCAGUGAUCUAGGAUCUUCUGAGUGGCUUUAGGCCUGAAUCUCUGCCCUCCUGCCCAAAUAAAUGUUUUCUCUUCUGAUAUAUCUGCCACUGUCAGCAGCCAGCAGGGGAAAACAGACAAUGCUGUUGAGAGCUUUCUUUUCUCCCUCAUGACUAAAACACUGAGAAAGGCUUUUAUCUAUUGCAGCAUAUUCCAUCUUUUGAUUUAACCUAUUAUACGGUAGAAGUACCCAUUAUUUCCCAACGGUUAUAUCACAGGAAAUGUGUUAUAAAAAGUAAACUUACAGUGCAUCCGGAAAGUAUUCAGACCACUUGACUUUUUCCACAUCGUUACGCCUUAUUCUAAAA
rnacentral:lncRNA from 1 species